CUGAGACCAUCCACAACGGGAGAGCUCCAUUACGGGCUCUUACAAAUAUUUUAAGUAUAAUUUUGUAAAAGUUGAAGUUAGAGAUGGUGUUGGAGUUUAAAAAUUUGUACUACUCCAAUGAUAAGAGCUACGGGGUUUAUAUACAUUUAAAAAAAAAAAAAUCUUCGUCGUUGAAGCCUCACCUAAAAAGAGAGAAAAAAACUCGCAACAGUGUUAUAUUAAUCAACAAUCAGA
rnacentral:lncRNA from 1 species